rnacentral:rRNA from 1 species
AACGAACGCUGGCGGCAUGCCUAACACAUGCAAGUCGAACGAGACCUUCGGGUCUAGUGGCGCACGGGUGCGUAACGCGUGGGAACCUGCCCUUAGGUUCGGAAUAACUCCCCGAAAGGGGUGCUAAUACCGGAUAAUGUCUUCGGACCAAAGAUUUAUCGCCUUUGGAUGGGCCCGCGUUGGAUUAGCUAGUUGGUAGGGUAAAAGCCUACCAAGGCGACGAUCCAUAGCUGGUCUGAGAGGAUGAUCAGCCACACUGGGACUGAGACACGGCCCAGACUCCUACGGGAGGCAGGAGUGGGGAAUAUUGGACAAUGGGCGAAAGCCUGAUCCAGCAAUGCCGGGUGAGUGAUGAAGGCCUUAGGGUUGUAAAGCUCUUUUACCCGGGAUGAUAAUGACAGUACCGGGAGAAUAAGCUCCGGCUAACUCCGUG